GGGCCUUUAGCUUAGUGGCGAAGCAGACGGCUCAUAACCGGCCAUACAUUGGUUCAAUUCCAACAGGGCCCC
rnacentral:tRNA from 1 species